GCCUCCUCUUCGCCGCCGGCUCCCUCCCCUCCUCCCCGGCCGCGGGUGCCGUCCGCCCUCCAGAAGACGUACGCGAAGCGACAAGGAAAGCCUUCCACCAAAAUGAGCUGUGAUAUCCUUUUGAUGGGUAUAAUUUAUUCCAAAUCGUCCCUGGACUGAAACGAUCAAUUAGCAGCCCGAAACGCACUGUGAAGUAAAUUGUCACACUCUCUAUUACAGGAUGGUUAUCAUAUAUUUAUAAGGUGUGUUUUCUGCAAUCAGAACCAACAAGGUGUUGAGCGAUCAGUCAUAAACGUACUUCUUCAAAAAGAGCGGGACAGAAGCUCUAGCAUUGUGUGGCGGAAGAAGAAAAUCUUAUGACAGUUAUUACCUCGCCCACCCUCUGCCCACGGUGAUAUUUUCAUUUCCUCUUGGCAUCUGGGAAGUGCAGUGAGGCGAGAGCUCUGCACCAACUCUCCAGGCCGCUCGCGUGACCCCGGGAACAGGGUCGCUGUGAACCUCAAACUCACAGCCCCAAGAGGACUGGUUUCCUUAUUGUGUAAAUAGAGAUCGGGCGUAAGGAUCGUCCUCACUCUUUCUCCGUCUCUGUUUUUACUCCCAUCCAGGAAAAUAUCCUACUCUUCCCUUCUAAGCUUCCAGCAGGAUGCUUGCGUUCUGUACUUAAGUGCCUUAUCUUCUUGUGUCUGAUAUUUAGGUGUUAUGUACGGUAGAGAUCAUGCCAUAGUGACGCACAGGUUACCCACAGAGAGAACUCUGCAUUCCGAACUGGAAUCUCUGCCAGAACGCACAAACUCUUGAGAAAGUCAUAAAUUCUCAUUCAGUCUGGUAGACUGUCUUGACCAACCUGUGGAGACAUUGUUAUUUAUAGUCGUCCUUAAUGAGUGUACAUGGAUGGAUAUACAUCCGGAACUUCUGAGUUUCCUGUAACAAGCUAUCAUCAUAUUCUCAUCCACCAACCAACCACCUAUUAAUCAUUUUUUUAGAGGGACUCUGAGUUGUCACCUGCCAUUUGGUGUCUAGCCAAAGAGACCUUAUCCAAGUUUUUUCUUCUUGGUGCCUCCCUGCUUCUAAUGUCUGCAAUCACCUUCCAAGUCUGAUGAAGUCAACAGUCAUCCCUGGUCAUUUGUAUACCAAGUCAAAGGAUAAAGCAAAGAAGCAGAAGAAAGAAAGACAUUAGUAUGAAUACAAGUGUUUCUUUGGUAGCAAGAACAUAUUGGAUGUAAGCCAUAGGAAGACAUGAGGAAGAACAAAAAAGUUGGGAAAACAACAACCAGAAGAAAGCAGAAGACAGUGAUCUAAAAGAACCUACUUUAGAGUGAACUGGAGCUUUAUCCACUGUGUCUUCAUUAGUCAUAAGAAACUGAAUGAACUCUUUUUGGGGAUCCCAGUUCGUAUCAUUUUCUGACCUAAAUUCAUCUGUACCUGAGGAAAUUCCUGUCAAUGUAUCAACACAAUCAUCUUUUACCAAUAAAUCAUCACUAUCCUCACCCACCUCUACUUGAUUUAUUAAAGUGCUAUCUGACUUUAUACUACUCCCUACUGAAUUCUGAAUGUCACAACCAACGGAAGCAGAGUAUUCAAAACUCAUGGCUGCUGCAUUAAGAUAUAAUGCAAACACCGAACCAUCAAAAUCUGUUGCGGUGAAUAAUGGAUCUAGAAUUUUUGACAUCAAGAAUUAUUUCCCUACAUUCAUGGAUGGUUAUGCAGCAUCUAGGCAAGAAAGCAUUUGAUCUAUUAGCUAAUUUCACACUGUUUCAAAUAAUUUUUCCAACUAUCUUUGUCAAAUAUAUGUAACAGAGCCAUCAAUGCUAGUUUAUGUUAAUUUAAAUAAGUAGGGGACAUAUUUGAAGGUAGACAUUAUUUA